rnacentral:tRNA from 1 species
AUUAGAAUGGCAGGGCCUGGUAAUUGCAAAAGACCUAAAACCUUUAUACAAGAGUUCAAAUCUCCUUCCUAAUU